CAGGCCUAACACAUGCAAGUCGAACGAGAACGGAAUAUAGCUUGCUAUAUUUGUCAGCUAAGUGGCGCACGGGUGAGUAAUGUAUAGAUAACCUGCCCUUAAGAAAGGAAUAACAGUUGGAAACGACUGCUAAUGCCCUAUAUGCCUUUAAUACAUAAGUAUGCAAGGGAAACGCUUUAGUGCUUAAGGAUGGGUCUGUAUGGUAUCAGCUUGUUGGUGAGGUAAUGGCUCACCAAGGCUAUGACGCCUAACUGGUUUGAGAGGAUGAUCAGUCACACUGGAACUGAGACACGGUCCAGACUCCUACGGGAGGCAGCAGUGGGGAAUAUUGAAGAAUGGACGAAAGUCUGAUGCAGCAACGCCGCGUGGAUAAUGGCACAUUUCGGUGCGUAAACUCCUUUUAUAUAGGAAGAUAAUGACGGUACUAU
rnacentral:rRNA from 1 species